rnacentral:rRNA from 1 species
UACGUAGGGACCGAGCGUUGUCCGGAUUCAUUGGGCGUAAAGAGCUCGUAGGCGGCUGUUCAAGUCGAACGUGAAAACUCGGGGCUCAACUCCGAGCCUGCGUUCGAUACUGGACGGCUAGAGUCUGGUAGGGGGAUCUGGAAUUCCUGGUGUAGCGGUGGAAUGCGCAGAUAUCAGGAGGAACACCGGUGGCGAAGGCGGCCCACUGGUCCGGUACUGACGCUGAGGUGCGAAAGCGUGGGGAGCAAACAGG